rnacentral:misc_RNA from 1 species
ACGUAGUAAUAACGCGAGUUAUUAUAACAUGUUAACCCUUGUGGUGAAAUAGUUUGUUGUUGUUGUUUGGCGGGAUAGUGUGUUGGUGGUGUAAUAAUAAUACACUACUACAUUGCGCAACCGCCGACAUCAUUAUAAAACCUUUUUAUUACAUUGUACUAAUGCUAUCUUGUGGUAUGAUCGGGCGCAAGUCUGUGAUAACACCAAGUAAAACAAUAAUAACCAAAUA